AUAAUGAAAGAGAAAUACAGCAAGGGAUAAAGAUUGGCACCCUAUUUUGACUUGGACAGGUGUUGUGACAGGAUGAGCUGCUGUCAAACAUAAGCAAGGAAUAGGGAGAAAUCUGGAGAACAGAAAUUGCACGAGGGCACACGAAAAUUGUGCAGGAGUACCCGUAGGAUCCAAUGAGGUACUGCAAUGAGACAACAGGUGCAAGGAGAAGAAGUGUUCCCAGAUGAAGCUCAGAGCAGAGACUGUUAAAGGUUGUACAACAGGAAGUCUCUUAUGCUCUUAAUGAAGACAACAGGCGAAGACCUUUCCAAUGCAUGCAAGGAUGGAAAGAGAGCUGUUGUAGAAGCACCUAAUUGAGGGGGUGCAAACGCCUGUGAUAAAAGGCGACCGCCUAUGUUGAAAGGCGAAGACACCAAAGAGAGUUGGUGUAGGUGGAGCUGUCAAGCAGAAAGGCAUAGAAGCUCCAAACAUAGAAAUCGAGGUGGAGGAUUGCGAGGAGUAUACCGCAAGUUUCUCUUUCUAUGUAAUCAGUGGCAGUUAUCUCUCCCAUAGUGCACAUGGUGGUAGAGAACUUUUUUGGAGCCACUUUGAAGCAUCUCAGCUGAAGGAGGAUGCGACCGCCUAUGAAAGGCGAAGAUACCUUGGAGAAGGUGUGAGGGCCAUGAGAGGAGCCCCAGUUCAGACCGCCCCAUGACAACGGGCGAAGACACCUUAGAGAAGGUGUAUGGGCCACGAUAGGAGCCCAAGUUCAGAACAACCCCAGAGCCAAUGUGAUGGUUGGAUAUGAGUGGACAGAUGGAUA
rnacentral:lncRNA from 1 species